UCAAUACAUUGCAGCAACCAGUUUGUUGUGGAGCUGUUGCAAUAUUUACCCGCAUCAUACUUAUUGCAAAAGCUUAAGCUGGUCCCUGUAACUGUGGCUGAAUACAAUAGAAAUAUAAUUAUAUAUAUUGCUUACAUUUUAUAAUCUUUGUUAUUUUCAGCUAUUUUAAGGUUUCAUAGACCAAAUAUUGCUCUAAAUCACAGAACACUAUUACUUCUAGCGAAGCUCUAAGUAAGCGACACAAUAUGAUAUUUUUGAUGCGAUAUUCCGCCGAAGUGAUAUGAAACAGUAAUAUUAUUUUGCAUUGACAUUUAUCAAUACAAAAUAUCGAGAUGUAGCCCUCGUAGUAUCGAUACACCAAAAAAUCGAAACGUAUUACGGUAUUACGCUUCACUAGAUCAAAUCAAUUAAUUAUUAUUUAUUGGUAUGUAGGUAUUUGCUGCUUUGAAAUAAGUGCUAUUUAGGUACCGUAGGUACAUUUUAAUUAUUUGAAACAGUUCAUAAUUUGAAAUUACAAUAUUACGAAAUAUCAUGUUGAAAACAAGCCAUAGUCAGUCAGUCAAAAAAUAUUACUAUGUGUUCUGAAUAGUCAUUGGACAAUGAUACAGUGUUGUCUACAAUGAUUUGUUAUUUCGCUUAGAGACCUUCGAAAUUCGAUCAUGAAUUCUGGAAACAUAGAUUGCGGAGGUCCCUCUGUAUCGGACGAAUGCCAUGAUAACACUAUCGAUGGAAAGUCGAAUUUUCGCGAUACAUGUAGUGUAGAUUCGGAGGAUGGUUCAGUAGAGCUGGUUCAGGAUGAUGCUGAAGCUAACGAGACAGAAACUAGGCGCGUUAUAAGUCGCGAGGAGCUCUAUAACGACCCUGAUGCUGUCGCCGAAAAUUUUGACUUACCGAAACAACCAACUCCGGACAAUGAUUGGACGAGGGACAAUUGGCGUAGGGCCGGCUUACUGCCCGAAACCUCCACGGUCCCCAAGAAGAAGAUCUAUACUCCUGUACCUGUUGUCAACAGAUUACACAAAAGUCUGUUCAAAGCUAUGUCUCAGCCUGUGACCAUGAGUAAGGCUGAAAGUAUGAUGCAGAAAAUGGGUUAUCAAGGCGGUGGCUUGGGCAAGAGUGGUGAAGGUAUACUGGAACCCAUCGCUCCCAAUGCAACUUACGCCAACAAAAACAUAGGCUUCGGUCAGAACAGCAAAAUGCCAGUAAGGAUUACAAAACCCCCAGCUAAUAAAGCGAAAACCAAAUCAGCUCGUAAGAACAUAUUGCGCAAAAGCAAGGAACAAUUGCGAACUAACGCCUUGAACGUCAUAUUAGAAUUUGUUAAGAACAAUAAAGAAAUUGAGAUUUUAUUCGACAAGAAGUUGUUUCCUAAGGAGAGAAGAAUCAUACAUUGCCUGGUCCACGAGGUCAUCAAUGCUGAUGAUGACACACAACGGGUCAAAGCUGGCACUCAACAGAUGAUCCUAAAUGAAAUAUACGCUCACAAUUGCUUCGUUCUAGGCACAGAGAGCGAAGGCGAGCAGCCUCACCGGCAACUCCGAAUAUACAAAGAGGCCCCGCCUGACGUAUUCCUGGUAACACCGGAAGAUCUACCAGAACUGAGGGUCGAUACUCAAACAACGGAGCCCUCAAAUCCGUGCUUGACCCAACCGAAUAAUUCAAGCACAACAGCGGACAUGCAAACGGAUGUCAAGAAUAUUUUAGACGAACUAAUGGAUUGCUUCGUGGAGUUUACAAAAGACAAUGAUUACGCUCAACUCAAAUUCCUGGGACCUUUCUGUGAGAUACAAGAGUUUUGCAUCUAUCAAUUCUUCAAUGUGAUCCACCGCUGUGUGAACAAAGACUUCUAUGGUGUUAGUGAUUCAGUAGUGAGUGCUUUUAAUGUGAACACAGUUAGCUUUGAAUUAGUCGAAGAUGUUAAUGGGAGUACGUUGUGAGUAUGGUUUUUGUUUAAUUUUCUUUGUGACAGUUCUAGUGUGACAAUUCUUUGUUAUUGCUUAGAUGGGUGGACGAGCUCACAGCCCACCUGGUGUUAAGUGGUUACCGGAGCCCAUAGACAUCUACAAAGUAAAUGCGCCACCCACCUUGAGAUAUAAGUUCUAAGGUCUCAGUAUAGUUACAAUGGCUGCCCCACCCUUCAAACAGAAACGCAUUACUGCUCCACGGCAGAAAUAGGCAGGGUGGUGGUACCUACCCGCGCGGACUCACAAGAGGUCCUACCACCAGUAAAGUCGUCCUGUUGAACUGUGAGACCUAGAUCCUAGAUAUUGACCACAUGUCUCAAAAACGGUUGCCUCAUUAACGUAGUGAUGGUAGUGAUCUAUAGGAUCCAACGACCACUCGAACUGAAGAAAAGCAGUCUUUAAAAUAAUAAUAUAAUUUUCUUUUACAGUGUACAGAAAAGAAAGCAACCGAAUAAGUAACAGCGGUUUAAUAUAAUAAUAUUUAUAAGAUAAAUUUAUUUAUAUAAAUGUUUAGAUUAACAAUAAGUUUGAAUAGUUGUUUAAUAAAAUAUAGUUUUAAUAAAUAACCUUAUAAAA